rnacentral:rRNA from 1 species
UACAGAGGGUGCAAGCGUUGUUCGGAAUUAUUGGGCGUAAAGGGCGCGUAGGCGGCCGCGUAUGUCCGGUGUGAAAGCCCACCUCUUAAAGGUGGAAUUGCAUCGGAAACUACGUGGCUGGAGUGUCGGAGAGGAUGGUGGAAUUCCUGGUGUAGAGGUGAAAUUCGUAGAUAUCAGGAGGAACACCGGUGGCGAAGGCGGCCAUAUGGACGACUACUGACGCUGAGGCGCGAAAGCGUGGGGAUCAAACAGG